rnacentral:rRNA from 1 species
UGGGGAAUUUUGGACAAUGGGGGCAACCCUGAUCCAGCCAUCCCGCGUGUGCGAUGAAGGCCUUCGGGUUGUAAAGCACUUUUGGCAGGGAAGAAACAGCCUGGGAUAAUACCCCGGGCGACUGACGGUACCUGCAGAAUAAGCACCGGCUAACUACGUGCCGGCAGCCGCGGUAAUACGUAGGGUGCAAGCGUUAAUCGGAAUUACUGGGCGUAAAGCGUGCGCAGGCGGUUCGGAAAGAAAGGUGUGAAAUCCCAGGGCUUAACCUUGGAACUGCACUUUUAACUACCGAGCUAGAGUACGUCAGAGGGGGGUAGAAUUCCACGUGUAGCAGUGAAAUGCGUAGAGAUGUGGAGGAAUACCGAUGGCGAAGGCAGCCCCCUGGGAUGAUACUGACGCUCAUGCACGAAAGCGUGGGGAGCAAACAGGAUUAGAUACCCUGGUAGUCCACGCCCUAAACGAUGUCAACUAGCUGUUGGGGUUUUAUUAACCUUAGUAGCGCAGCUAACGCGUGAAGUUGACCGCCUGGGGGAGUACGGUCGC